UGACCGUGCGUUCGUGCGUCCUUCGCUAAGCUUGACGUUUUAGCCCUCGUUCUAGUUGUGUAGCAUGUUCGAUUUUUAUCAUUAAUAUUGUGUAGCCGAGUUUGUUUGCUCGGUCGUUGUUCAACUAAGAGAUCUGGGGUUCCAAUCUGAGGUGUUGCAAUAAUUUUUUGCCCUGUUUUGUUGAUCUGCACAUUGGUGA
rnacentral:lncRNA from 1 species